AUCCCCCAGCGUAGUACCUGUGAUCAAGGACCAACCCCUCCAAGCUGUUGGUGAAGAUAUUCAACCUGCAGGUGAAGCAGAACAGCAACAUUUUAUGGUCACCAGGACUGGGGAACAUUUGGAUCAGACUCCUGGAUCCCAGCUCACUCCUGGAUACAGCAACUGCUCCAGCUUUUCUCUGUUCAGUGUCUGCCUGAAGUCACAUCAGAUCAUGCUCAGCCUCAAUUUUUCUCAUCUGACUGGUCCCCACAGUCGUCAUCCCCAUUGCAGAGCAGCCUCCGUGCAAUGCAUCUCUCUAGGAUGGAAGGGGAAAGUCAUCCAUAAAACAACCUGUGAUCACACUCCCUGACAUGGAGACUAGGAGCAAAACAGAAAAUUCCUGGAAUGAAUGAUUCAAAUCAAGCUGGAAAAUAAAAAAUCUUCUCUAUUUGCAUGGA